rnacentral:rRNA from 1 species
UACGUAGGGUGCGAGCGUUAAUCGGAAUUACUGGGCGUAAAGCGUGCGCAGGCGGUUCGUUGUGUCGGCGGUGAAAGCCCCGGGCUCAACCUGGGAAUGGCCGUUGAAACUGGCGGACUGGAGUGUGGCAGAGGGGGGUGGAAUUCCGCGUGUAGCAGUGAAAUGCGCAGAUAUCAGGAGGAACACCAAUUGCGAAGGCAGCUCGCUGGGACGUUACUGACGCUGAGACGCGAAAGCGUGGGGAUCAAACAGG